AUGAACGCUGGCGGCGUGCCUCAUCCAUGCAAGUCGAGCGAACAGAUGAGGAGCUUGCUCCUCUGACGUUAGCGGCGGACGGGUGAGUAACACGUGGAUAACCUACCUAUAAGACUGGGAUAACUUCGGGAAACCGGAGCUAAUACCGGAUAAUAUAUUGAACCGCAUGGUUCAAUAGUGAAAGACGGUUUUGCUGUCACUUAUAGCUGGAUCCGCGCCGCAUUAGCUAGUUGGUAAGGUAACGGCUUACCAAGGCAACGAUGCGUAGCCGACCUGAGAGGGUGAUCGGCCACACUGGAACUGAGACACGGUCCAGACUCCUACGGGAGGCAGCAGUAGGGAAUCGGCCGCAAUGGGCGAAAGCCUGACGGAGCAACGCCGCGUGAGUGAUGAAGGUCUUCGGAUCGUAAAACUCUGUUAUUAGGGAAGAACAAAUGUGUAAGUAACUAUGCACGUCUUGACGGUACCUAAUCAGAAAGCCACGGCUAACUACGUG
rnacentral:rRNA from 1 species